UUCCAGUUAAAUUAAAAGAGAAAUCGGUCUUGAUCCACGGAAAUUGUUAAAGCACAUCGAAACCAAAGAAUAUAGCUCUUCUAAGACUGAAUGCCUUGUCUUUCCAUAACCAAGCAGCAGUCCCGUGUAUGGGUCAAUAUUGACAUUGACAUUGCACCUGCUUACGAUUAAUAAAGGACAUGCUGUGUAUAAAGAUCUGAGCACUAAAAACUAAAAAGCAGGAACCACAUUCACGUACCCUCCAACUUCACCUUCCUUGAACAUUGGACCACAUUCUACAUCAAGAACUAUCUAUAUAGGCGGGAUGGAUUGCACUUAAACCAAAAGGCAAACAAUCUACUCUGAAAAAGGAUCCUUGAGGAGGUUCAGAAGCAUUUAAACUAGAAAGGAGGUUGGGGGGAAUAAACAAAAAAAACAGAAGGGAGACUACAUCAAAACAAGGGCAACAACUCAGAUGGCUUUGGAAGAUCCUUCUUUGGAAGAUUCUUUGUUCUGCAAGUACAUCAAGCCUGGGAGUAUCCAGAAGUGCUGGUACCUCUGUCAACAGUGCAGAGCACAAGUGUUACAGAAACUACACAGAUGUUUAAAUUGAAGAUGAUAAUCAGAACAGGAAUCUGAAAACACUAGUGGAGUGGUGCAAGUCACUUUGAAGAGGACACCCAAUCCCUGAAGUAAACAGAAUCAGCCCCUUGGAGGAACAAGCAGCUGUCUUCCACUGACACAGAUACAGUGGAGACCCGUCCUACCAGCGAGCACGCAACUCUAAUCUCUCAGAUUCCAACUUGAAACAAACUUUUAAAUGCUUUACACGUCAAAUACUAUCGAAUUCUUUAGCAAGGAAGAUUUGAUUACUCUUCGUUUCUCACUUUGCCUUUACAAGAUGUGUUUGGCAACUUGUUUGACUGUAUUUUUGAUACUUCAACCAAGGACUUCAUUUUUUUUGUUUCUUUCAAAUAAAUUCAGUUAAAACAUGAUAGCCUAUCUGCCUAACAUGUUUGAAGGGAACAUUUUUAGGAGGGUGUACAGCAAACCUGACUGUGUCAUACGUGUGCCCAUUAUUGUAUUUUAAUUGAGGUGGGGUUAUGCUAAAAUGGCAAAUUUGCUUUUAACAAAUAGGAUUCUGUCCAUUCUGUAAAGCUCCAAUGUUGGUACAGUGGUGAUGUUAAUACUUUGUUGACUACAGUAAAUCCCGUAUUACGUGAUUUUAAUCCUUAAUCUCUUUCUCUUUUUUUAUUUAUUUAUACAUAUAAUUUUAACUCUGGCAGUUUUAACCUGAGAACAUAAAAGUAAGACAUUACAUUUCAAAAGUGCAGGGUAAAAAAAAAGUUAAAGUGAAAUAUCUGGCAACACCUUACUGGUAUAUAUGUAGUGUAUGCAUUUAAAUAGCAAUUACUUGCCAUUGUGAUCAAUUAAGCAAUUUGUUCCCACAUAUAUUGGAUAAUGUUAAAGGUAACAUAAUUCCUUUUAUUGAUUUUUGAUGAAAAAAAUAAUCUGCAAACUAAGGGUUUAAUGAAAGCAUGUGCUUUGUAAUGCCAAGGAAGAGUGGUUCUUUAAAUAUUCA